rnacentral:rRNA from 1 species
UACGAAGGGUGCAAACGUUGCUCGGAAUUAUUGGGCGUAAAGCGCACGUAGGCGGCUUUGCAAGUCGGAUGUGAAAUCCCUCGGCUUAACCAAGGAAGUGCAUCCGAAACUGCAGAGCUUGAGUACUUAAGAGGAUCGCGGAAUUCCCGGUGUAGAGGUGAAAUUCGUAGAUAUCGGGAGGAACACCAGUGGCGAAGGCGGCGAUCUGGGAAGAUACUGACGCUGAGGUGCGAAAGCGGUGGGGAGCAAACAGGG